rnacentral:rRNA from 1 species
AACGAACGCUGGCGGCAUGCCUAACACAUGCAAGUCGAACGAGACCUUCGGGUCUAGUGGCGCACGGGUGCGUCACGCGUGGGAACCUGCCCUUAGGUUCGGAAUAACUCCCCGAAAGGGGUGCUAAUACCGGAUAAUGUCUUAGGACCAAAGAUUUAUCGCCUUUGGUUGGGCCCGCGUUGGAUUAGCUAGUUGUGAGGGUAAAAGCCUACCAAGGCGACGAUCCAUAGCUGGUCUGAGAGGAUGAUCAGCCACACUGGGACUGAGACACGGCCCAGACUCCUACGGGAGGCAGCAGUGGCGAAUAUUGGACAAUGGGCGAAAGCCUGAUCCAGCAAUGCCGCGUGAGUGAUGAAGGCCUUAGGGUUGUAAAGCUCUUUUACCCGGGAUGAUAAUGACAGUACCGGGAGAAUAAGCCCCGGCUAACUCCGUG